AGUGAACGCUGGCGGCAUGCCUAACACAUGCAAGUCGAACGGCCGCACAGUAAGCGUUUGCUCUUACGGGUGGCGAGUGACGGAUGGGUGAGGCAUACAUCGGCAUCUACUUUUUCGUGGGGGAUUACGUAGGGACACUUACGCUAAUACCGCAUACGACCUACGGGUUAAAUCAGGGGUUCUUCGGACCUUUCGUGUUUGUAUUAGCCGGAGUCGCAUUAGCUAGUUGGCGGGGUAAAGGCCCACCAAGGCGACGAUCCGUAGCUGAUCUGAGAGGAUGAUCGGCCACACUGGAACUGAGACACGGUCCAGACUCCUACGGGAGGCAGCAGUGGGGAAUCUUGGACAAUGGGCGAAAGCCUGAUCCAGCCAUACCGCGUGAGUGAUGAAGGUCUUCGGGUCGUAAAACCCUGUUAUUAGGGAAGAAAAGCAGCGUAAGAAAAUGCCGCUGUUCUGACGGUACCCAAAGAGAAAGCACCGGCUAACUACGUG
rnacentral:rRNA from 1 species